rnacentral:rRNA from 1 species
UACGUAGGGGGCAAGCGUUGUCCGGAUUUAUUGGGCGUAAAGCGCUCGCAGGUGGUUCGUCGCGUCGUGCGUGAAAGACCCCGGCUCAACUGGGGAGGGUCACGCGAUACUGGUCGACUCGAAGGCAGGAGAGGGUAGUGGAAUUCCCGGUGUAGUGGUGAAAUGCGUAGAUAUCGGGAGGAACACCAGUGGCGAAGGCGGUUCUCUGGGCAUGUCCUGACGCUGAGGAGCGAAAGUGUGGGGAGCGAACAGG